UAUACAGAAAUUGUUAAUGGCUCUUAGUAACGUGGCCUUAGAAAAACCGUAUGCGAGGCAUGGACGCCGAGCAAGUCUUAAAGGUCAUGGACGACCAUUUUAAGACGUUAGGUUUUUCUUAGGCUACGUUAGUUAGUGCCAUCAAUUUUUGUAUA
rfam:Clostridia bacterium BRH_c25 BRHa_1003520, whole genome shotgun sequence.